rnacentral:rRNA from 1 species
ACGAACGCUGGCGGCGUGCUUAACACCUGCAAGUCGAACGGAAAGGCCCUGCUUUUGUGGGGUGCUCGAGUGGCGAACGGGUGAGUAACACGUGAGUAACCUGCCCUUGACUUUGGGAUAACUUCAGGAAACUGGGGCUAAUACCGGAUAGGAGCUCCUGCUGCAUGGUGGGGGUUGGAAAGUUUCGGCGGUUGGGGAUGGACUCGCGGCUUAUCAGCUUGUUGGUGGGGUAGUGGCUUACCAAGGCUUUGACGGGUAGCCGGCCUGAGAGGGUGACCGGCCACAUUGGGACUGAGAUACGGCCCAGACGCCUACGGGAGGCAGCAGUGGGGAAUAUUGCACAAUGGGCGGAAGCCUGAUGCAGCAACGCCGCGUGCGGGAUGACGGCCUUCGGGUUGUAAACCGCUUUCGCCUGUGACGAAGCGUGAGUGACGGUAAUGGGUAAAGAAGCACCGGCUAACUACGUG